rnacentral:lncRNA from 1 species
UCAUAUGCCUUUGAUUCAGUAAUUUAACUUAGCUUGUCAUAACAAUACUUGUUUGAAUUGGUUUGGAGUUGGUCAGGUUUAGUUUACCAAACUGACCAACUCACUCCACCAAACUUUUGCACCCUUCUGCCUUAAUUGUUUGAAUUUAGGAAAUUAAAUUGGCUAUAGCUGAUGAAAUGCAAAAUUAGGGAUAGAAUAGAUCACAGGGGUAGUUUCAGGGUUAGUUUAGGAACAUGAAACUUGGAGAAUUGAUUUACUUGAGUAGUUUGUCCAGUAGGGCCCCAAUAUGCUUUAAUUUGAACUAAUUGAUAGGGGG